UACGUAGGGACCGAGCGUUGUCCGGAAUCAUUGGGCGUAAAGAGCGUGUAGGCGGCUAUUUAAGUCCUGCGUGAAAUCCUGCGGCUCAACCGCAGACGGUCGUGGGAAACUGGAUGGCUAGAGUGCGGGAGAGGAGAGUGGAAUUCCCGGUGUAGCGGUGAAAUGCGCAGAUAUCGGGAAGAACACCCGUGGCGAAGGCGGCUACCUGGACAAUUGCUGACGCUCAGGCACGAAAGCGUGGGGAGCAAAAGGG
rnacentral:rRNA from 1 species